rnacentral:rRNA from 1 species
UACGAAGGGUGUAAGCGUUACUCGGAAUUACUGGGCGUAAAGCGUGCGUAGGUGGUCGUUUAAGUCCGUUGUGAAAGCCCUGGGCUCAACCUGGGAACUGCAGUGGAUACUGGGCGACUAGAGUGUGGUAGAGGGUAGCGGAAUUCCUGGUGUAGCAGUGAAAUGCGUAGAGAUCAGGAGGAACAUCCAUGGCGAAGGCAGCUACCUGGACCAACACUGACACUGAGGCACGAAAGCGUGGGGAGCAAACAGG